CUACGGGCUGCUGCAGGCGAGAAAACUUUGCAAUGUGCGAAAGCACGACAAGGUUAAUCCGAGUGGUUUCUGCUAAAGGAACCUUUUGUCGGUCCUAGAAACACCGAUGAAUAAGGGGUGGGCAAGUUCUGGUGUCAGCCGCCGCGGUAAAACCAGCACCUCAAGUGGUCAGGAUGAUUAUUGGGCCUAAAGCAUCCGUAGCCGGCUCUGUAAGUUUUCGGUUAAAUCUGUAUGCUCAACAUACAGGCUGCCGGGAAUACUGCAUAGCUAGGGAGUGGGAGAGGUAGACGGUACUCGGUAGGAAGGGGUAAAAUCCUUUGAUCUAUUGAUGACCACCUGUGGCGAAGGCGGUCUACCAGAACACGUCCGACGGUGAGGGAUGAAAGCUGGGGGAGCAAACCGGAUUAGAUACCCCGGUAGUC
rnacentral:rRNA from 1 species